rnacentral:lncRNA from 1 species
AUGGCCUGUGACUCCCCAUCUUGGGGUCGUGAGAUCAAGCCCCACCUUGGGCUAGAACUUGCAUUUAAAAAAGAAAAAAAAAAAAAAAAAAAGGAAGGACAUCCUGACACCUGCUACACGUGGAGGAGCCUUGAGGACAUUGUGCUCAGUGACAUAAGCCAGACACAGAAGGACAAACACUGUCUGAUUCCAUUUAUAGGCGGUGUCUGGGAUAGAGAAAUCCAGAGACAGAAAGAAUGGUGGGUUCCAGGGUCCGGGGUCCUGUUUAAGGGGCGCCGAGUUCGUGCGGGGGCUGAUGGCUCCGGCCGGCGGUGCUGGCUUCACUGCACCCUGGACGCAUUUCAUGCCUCUGGAUGGUGCAUUUACAGAUGGUCUAAGUGUCUUUCACCAUCAUUUAAAAGGCAGACACCCCCGGGCAGCACUUUGCCUCUUUGCUUUUCAAAAGACAGGACAUCGAUAAAGUCACAUGUUGCACAAGAUGUUGUGUCUAUGAAAUACAGCGACCGUCACCCCAGGCCCAGCCUCCUCACCCGCCGCCUCACCCCUCCCCGCACGACCCCCGUGCGUCCCUUCCGGCGCUUGGGGCGCAGGGACCUCGUGCGGCCACCAGGUGGCGCCGCCCCGCCUCUCGGCGCCCGGGAGGUUCGGCGCCAGCCCGGUGGGCGGCGCGGAGGCGGUGCGAUGCGUCAGCCGGACCGCGGGGCCCGGGAGCCCCGGGAAGCAAGCCGCGGGGCUGAAGGCCAGACCCCAGGCUGGCGGGGGAGGGGACGCUGCUGUGAGUCACGCGGGAGCCCCCGAUCGGCCGUGGGAGGCAGUCCCACGCUGCCUGCCCGCCAGGCUCGUGAACCGCCUUCCUGGGGGAGACGGCGAGGCCGGCGGCCGUCCCCCUGUCGCACACGUGUGGCUCCAACACGCCCUGCACGGUGGCUUGCGGGAGUGCGUGUGCGAGGGAGGGGGGGGGGACUGCCCGUGCCUCAGUUUCCCCUUUUGUCUAAUGCACAUAAGCAUGGACCCUGCUUCCUGGGUCCUGGAAAAUUAAAAGACUCAUGA